GACGAACGCUGGCGGCGUGCUUAACACAUGCAAGUCGAACGGAAAGGCCCCUUUGGGGGUACUCGAGUGGCGAACGGGUGAGUAACACGGGAGUAACCUGCCCUUGACUUCGGGAUAACUUCAGGAAACUGGGGCUAAUACCGGAUAGGAAUCCUUGCUGCAUGGUGGGGGUUGGAAAGCUUCGGCGGUUUUGGAUGGACUCGCGGCUUAUCAGCUUGUUGGGGGGGUAGUGGCUUACCAAGGCUUUGACGGGUAGCCGGCCUGGGAGGGCGACCGGCCACGUUGGGACUGAGCUACGGCCCAGCCUCCUACGGGCGGCAGCAGUGGGGAAUCUUGCACAAUGGGCGGAAGCCUGAUGCAGCAACGCCGCGUGCGGGAUGACGGCCUUCGGGUUGUAAGCCGCUUUCAGCAGGGGCGAAGCUUGUGGUGACGGUACCUGCAGAAGAAGCACCGGCUAACUACGUG
rnacentral:rRNA from 1 species